UCUUUGCUAGUAUAUCGGUUAGUACACGCGCCUGUCAUCUGGAUGCAUGCAUAGAUCCGCGCGAAAGCUGGGUUCGACUCCCAGGCAGAGAG